rnacentral:rRNA from 1 species
GAUGAACGCUGGCGGCGUGCCUAAUACAUGCAAGUCGAGCGAACGGACGAGAAGCUUGCUUCUCUGAUGUUAGCGGCGGACGGGUGAGUAACACGUGGAUAACCUACCUAUAAGACUGGGAUAACUUCGGGAAACCGGAGCUAAUACCGGAUAAUAUUUUGCACCGCAUGGUUCAAAAGUGAAAGACGGUCUUGCUGUCACUUAUAGAUUGAUCCGCGCUGCAUUAGCUAGUUGGUAAGGUAACGGCUUACCAAGGCAACGAUGCAUAGCCGACCUGAGAGGGUGAUCGGCCACACUGGAACUGAGACACGGUCCAGACUCCUACGGGAGGCAGCAGUAGGGAAUCUUCCGCAAUGGGCGAAAGCCUGACGGAGCAACGCCGCGUGAGUGAUGAAGGUCUUCGGAUCGUAAAACUCUGUUAUUAGGGAAGAACAUAUGUGUAAGUAACUGUGCACAUCUUGACGGUACCUAAUCAGAAAGCCACGGCUAACUACGUG